GUUCUGGGCCGCACGCGCGCUACACUGACGGAGCCAGCGAGUAUUAACCUUGGCCGAGAGGUCUGGGAAAUCUUGUGAAACUCCGUCGUGCUGGGGAUAGAGCAUUGUAAUUAUUGCUCUUCAACGAGGAAUUCCUAGUAAGCGCAAGUCAUCAGCUUGCGUUGAUUACGUCCCUGCCCUUUGUACACACCGCCCGUCGCUACUACCGAUUGAAUGGCUUAGUGAGGCUUCCGGAUUGGUUUAAAGAAGGGGGCAACUCCAUCUUGGAACCGAAAAGCUAGUCAAACUUGGUCAUUUAGAGGAAGUAAAAGUCGUAACAAGGUUUCCGUAGGUGAACCUGCGGAAGGAUCAUUACAGUAUUCUUUUUGCCAGCGCUUAAUUGCGCGGCGAAAAAACCUUACACACUAUGUUUUUUGUUAUUACAAGAACUAUUGCUUUGGUCUGUCUCUAGAAAUAGAGUUGGGCCAGAGGUUUAACUAAACUUCAAUUUUAUAUUGAAUUGUUUCUAAUUUAAAAUGUCAAUUUGUUGAUUAAUUUCAAAAAAUCUUCAAAACUUUCAACAACGGAUCUCUUGGUUCUCGCAUCGAUGAAGAACGCAGCGAAAUGCGAUAAGUAAUAUGAAUUGCAGAUUUUCGUGAAUCAUCGAAUCUUUGAACGCACAUUGCGCCCUCUGGUAUUCCAGAAGGCAUGCCUGUUUGAGCGUCAUUUCUCUCUCAAACCCUUGGGUUUGGUAUUGAGUGAUACUCUUAGUCGAACUAGGCGUUUGCUUGAAAUGUAUCGGCAUGAGUAGUACUGAAUAGUGCUUCAAGACUUUUUCAAUGGAUUAGGGUUAUCCCACUCCGUUGAAGGGUUAAUAGUAAAUUUUUGGGAUUAUUGGCUCGGCCUUCCAUACAACAACAAGUUUGACCUCAAAUCAGGAGGACUACCCCUGACUUAAGCUUUCAUAACGGAGGAAAGAACCAC
rnacentral:rRNA from 1 species